CCUACGGGAGGCAGCAGUGGGGAAUCUUUGACAAUGGACGAAAGUCUGAUCCAGCCACGCCGCGUGCGGGAAGAAGGCUCUAUGAGUUGUAAACUGCUUUUGUACAAGAGUAAACCUGAAGACGUGUAUUCCACUGAAAGUACUGUACGAAUACGGAUCGGCUAACUCCGUGCUAGCAGCCGCGGUAAUACGGAGGAUCCAAGCGUUGUUCGGAUUUAUUGGGUUUAAAGGGUGCGUAGGAGGAUUGAUAAGUUAGAGGUGAAAUGUCCGAUCUUAACUCGGGAACUGCCUCUAAUACUGUUGAUCUAGAGAGUAGGUGCGGUAGGCGGAAUGCAUGGUGUAGCGGUGAAAUGCGUAGAGAGCAGAAAGAACACCGGUGGCGAAGGCAGCUUACUGAUCUAUAACUGACGUUGAGGCACGAAAGCGUGGGGAGCAAACAGGAUUAGAUACCCCGGUAGUC
rnacentral:rRNA from 1 species